rnacentral:rRNA from 1 species
AUUGAACGCUGGCGGCAGGCUUAACACAUGCAAGUCAAGCGAGCGGCGGACGGGUGAGUAAUGUCUGGGAAACUGCCUGAUGGAGGGGGAUAACUACUGGAAACGGUAGCUAAUACCGCAUCCCAUCCGAUGUGCCCAGAUGGGAUUAGCUAGUAGGUGGGGUAAAGGCUCACCUAGGCGACGAUCCCUAGCUGGUCUGAGAGGUUGACCAGCUACACUGGAACUGAGACACGGUCCAGAGUCCUACGGGAGGCAGCAGUGGGGAAUAGUGAACAUUGGGCGCAAGCCGGUGGCAUCCAUGCCGCGUGUGUUAAGAAGGCCUUAGGGUUGUAAAGCACUUUCAGAGAGGAUGCGUUACUCGCAGAAGAAGCACAGGCUAACUACGGGCCAGCAGCCGCGGUAAUUC